UUUCUCUCUCAUCAGUCGUAGCUGUGAAAACCUCUCCAUCUCCACGCCGCCUCUCUUUCUGACCUGACCAAGAACAACUCUUCCACUCCCAAUUUCAUAAUUCCUUAAUUCCCAAUUAAUUAAUCACCCAUUAUUAAUUAUCAUUUCUGAAUUUCAUUAAUCUAUUUCCACUUUCAAUCCCCACUUUAUCCAUGGCUUCACCCUCGACUUUUCUCUAAAUGCUG
rnacentral:lncRNA from 1 species